rnacentral:rRNA from 1 species
AUCGUUUAUUUGAAAAUACCUUACUACUUGGAUAACCGUGGUAAUUCUAGAGCUAAUACAUGCUGAAAGCCCCGACUUCGGGAGGGGCGUGCUUAUUAGAUAAAAAACCAAUGCCCUUCGGGGCUUCUUGGUGAUUCAUGAUAAUUUAACGGAUCGCAUGGCCUUGCGCCGGCGACGGUUCAUUCAAAUUUCUGCCCUAUCAACUUUCGAUGGUAAGGUAUUGGCUUACCAUGGUUUCAACGGGUAACGGGGAAUUAGGGUUCGAUUCCGGAGAGGGAGCCUGAGAAACGGCUACCACAUCCAAGGAAGGCAGCAGGCGCGCAAAUUACCCAAUCCCGACACGGGGAGGUAGUGACAAUAAAUACUGAUACAGGGCUCUUUUGGGUCUUGUAAUUGGAAUGAGUACAAUUUAAACCUCUUAACGAGGAACAAUUGGAGGGCAAGUCUGGUGCCAGCAGCCGCGGUAAUUCCAGCUCCAAUAGCGUAUAUUAAAGUUGUUGCCGUUAAAAAGCUCGUAGUUGAAACUUGGGUCUGGCUGGCAGGUCCGCCUCACCGCGUGCACUUGUCCGGCCGGGCCUUCCUUCUGGAGAACCUCAUGCCCUUCACUGGGCGUGUUGGGGACCAGGACUUUUACUUUGAAAAAAUUAGAGUGUUCAAAGCAGGCCUUUGCUCGAAUACGUUAGCAUGGAAUAAUAGAAUAGGACGUUGCGGUCCUAUUUUGUUGGUUUCUAGGACCGCCGU